CUCUGGAAAGCGGCUGGACUUCCCCGGAAGUCGGGCCCACCGACGAUGUAAGCCGUCCGCCCCGAACCGCUUGCCGGUGCGGAACCGGUGAAUCUUUCAGGUUCCAAGGACAGAG
rfam:Magnetospirillum moscoviense strain BB-1 NODE_25_length_52426_cov_120.336_ID_5572, whole genome shotgun sequence.